UCCAGUGACUAGUCUAAGUUAUAGGUAUGAAGGCUGAGCUCUUUUACACUAAUUCAGGAAGGACUGCACUGGGUCCAGAGCUCCUCUGGAAACAAACUGAAGCCUCUGUUAUAACUGUAUCUAAGGCUACCUUCUACUUCUUCUUACACUGCUUCUUUUACUCUCCUAUAAAUUUUAGUCCCCAAAGUAUUCUACAAUAAACUUCCUGCAUAAAAAUCUACUUCUUGGACUCUUCUUCCUAUUGAAUUUGAACUUCAACAUAAACCUGAAAGAGCUGGACCUGAAGGGCCUCUGUGUUUCCUGGGCCAAAAUCUAUAUUCAGAUGCUGCCAUUUUAAGAACAAGAAGAGCAGAACGAAGCAGCAGAUGAAAAAGCAUGAAAGAAAAAGCAUUCAUCACAGAGAGUGUUCUCCGGUGCUCACCUUCCUCCCUCUGUGGUUUCAAAGUCACAGAUUUUCUCUGCACUCAGCCAGGUGUG